CAUACUGAACAUUGUGAUGUUUUCUGCAAUAAUAGGUCUAUUCCAGAUCAAACUUCAGGAAUAUAAAAAAACACACCAACAAUGUCAAAAUGAAGAAUUGGAGCAGCUUUACGGCACAAAUGAUGAAGAGUUUUCUGAAGUGGAGUUUUGUCUGUCCCAUCCAAACAACAACACUUUGGUUCCUUUUCAAAAGCCAAAGAAAAAACCUAUGAUAUAAUCAAGAGUAAAU